rnacentral:rRNA from 1 species
CCUACGGGCGGCAGCAGUGGGGAAUAUUGGGCAAUGGGCGCAAGCCUGACCCAGCAACGCCGCGUGAAGGAAGAAGGCUUUCGGGUUGUAAACUUCUUUUCUCAGGGACGAAGAAAGUGACGGUAGCGGAGGAAUAAGCGACGGCUAACAACGUGCCAGCAGCCUCGGUAAUACGUCGGCGGCAAGCGUUAUCCGGAUUUACUGGGUGUAAAGGGCGUGUAGGCGGGAACGGAAGUCAGAUGGGAAAACCAUGGGCCCCACCUUUGGCCGGCAUUUUACACUUUUUUUCUUGAGUACUGGAGAGGCAGCCGGAAUUCCUCGUGUAGCGGUGCAAUGCGUAGAUAU